rnacentral:rRNA from 1 species
GACGAACGCUGGCGGUGGGCUUAACACAUGCAAGUCGAACGGAAAGGCCCUGCUUGCGUGGGGUGCGGGAGUGGCGGACGGGUGAGUAACACGUGAGUAACCUACCCUUGACUUUGGGAUAACUUCAGGAAACGGGGGCUAAUACCGGAUAGGAUAUCACGCAGCAUGGUGGGGAGGGGAAAGUUGGGGCGGUUGGGGAUGGAAGAGCGGAUUACCAGCUAGUUGGUGGGGGAGUGGCUGACCAAGGAAUUGGCGGGUCAGGCGCCGGAGAAGGUGAGCGGCCGCCUUGCGACUGAGGUACGGCCCAGACUCCUACUGGAGGCAGCGGGGGGGAAUCUUGCCCAAUGGUCGGAAGCCUGAUGCAGAAACGCCGCGUGCGGGAUGACGGCCUUCUGGUUGUAAACCGCUUUCGCCUGUGACGAAGCGUGUGUGACGGUAAUCGGUAAAGAAGCACCGGCUAACUACGUG